ensembl:lncRNA
AUGCAGAGGAGUUCUGAAGAAGAAGCCCGGCUAUUCCUAGAUCUGAGACUGAAGAGCACAUGGUGGAUACACAAUAGACACAUAAAUGUUAGCCGUCCUCAUCUUCAGCUCAGAGGAAAGAGUGAGUCUAAGAAUAAAAGCGACAGGGAAGGGGUAACAUUUGAGCCAAAUAAGACUGAACAGAAUUUUCCAGGUGCCUGGAGGGCUGGAGAAGAGAGGGAGCCAGUCCAUUAGGGGAGAGGGACAGUCUCCGGACCAUCCUCACCCCUCAAGCACAGGGGUAGGGGGUUGGGGUGGGGCUGGGUGGGGGGAUACAGCUCCCAUCAGGUUGAGAGGCACCAGCAGGACUUGCCUGAGGAAGCUGGAGGCAGUCUUGUCCACGCAGCUGCUUUGGUUUAGAGUCUCUCCCUGCUGGACAUCUGGUGUUUAAUGACAAUCCUCAGAGGGAAGCUAGUUGUCUUUUUUUUUAAGUGUUUUGUUCUCUUUUCCUGAGAACCCAGCCUUAAGGCUCUUGAUGGAAGAACAUGGUCAGAAUGGUUACAGAAAAUGUUCCUUUUUCCCUCCAGGUCUUCGCAGCGCUUAUAACCUGAGAAGGGGAUUCUGGGAGAAUCUGUGACAUAACACUGAGAAAGAGGGUUUUUUUAGGCUGUAAAGACCCAGAGAACUUUUGGGGAAUCAUACGUAUUCCUCCUCUUCUGGUGUCUCACUCCCUCCUCUCUGCUUCUUUCUCUUCCUUCAUUUCUUCCAACACAUCCCCACCACAACCCCUGUCUCUUGGUGGGAGAGGGUCGGGGAUGGGAUAGACCUGGCAGAAGUAUGUUUCCUCCUGCUUCAACCAGGCAGAGGGGACAGGCUCUGAGGAGCAUCCAAGUUCCUACAUUCCCCUGCAACUUUGUCCUAAAUAAACUUAUAUGUAGAGACAGAGCUUUGCUGCUUCGAAGUGUUUGUGCUCAGGAGGUUGAAAAUGAGCUCAUUAGUGCUUCCAAUUAGGUUUGGAUUUCUGAACACACACUUGGUAUUUUUGCCUUGCUCUAGAGACAGUUGAGGAGUCCCUCAUUUUCAGGACUUAAAUUCCCUUUGGGCUCUGCCUGGCCUGCCCAGAAUAGGCGGAGGUGAUCAUGCAGCCCAGGGAAGUAGUUCACUAUCUCUGCAAUCAGCCAUGUUCUAAGAACCCUCCCCAGGGCCACUUCUGGGAAUGGUUCUGAUCGCUAUCUUUGUACCCUCUGUGUGACAUCUGUGGCAGAGUCUACAUGCUCUACCCAGGCACAGUAGAAGGGCCGCGGAUGGGAAAGUCAAGACAUCUAGGCUUCCGGCUAUGACUAUCACAGACAGGUUUGGUGGCUUUGGAUAAGUCACUUCUAUUUUCUGGUCUUCCUUUUCCCCAUCUGUUACAAAAUUUGCAUGUUGGGAAUUCCCGCUGUGGAGCAGUGGAUUAAGAAUCUGGCAUUGUCUCUGUACAUGGGUCACUGAUGAGGUGCAGGUUCAAUCUCUGGCCCUGCACAGUGGGUUAAGGAUCCAGCAUUGUCACAGCUAUGGCAUAGAUCAAAGCUGUGGCUCCAAUCUGAUCCCUGGCCUGGGAACUUCCCUAUGGGGCCACUGGUGCUUCCAAAAAACCAACCAAACAAACAAACAAAAAUCCAUAUUAAAAAAUGUUUACAUGUUGAUUUUUCUGAGGAAAUUGUUCAUGGCUGCCACUGUUUUCUCAAAGGCUCUGUGACCAACAAUGGCUAAGAUCUGGACUUGUCGAUUCACAAAUUCUUAUCAUCCAACUUGGAGCAAGUCUUUGGCUCUGUGCUUCUAGGAAUAUUGUACAUUUACCUGUUCAGCAGUUUUUGCCAACUGUUUACUGUGUAUCAGGUCCUUUGAUAGGGUCCAAAGAUGCAAAAGUAAAUAAGAUACCUUCCAAAGAGACUACUCUCCCAUGAGA